UAAACUGCUUGGGAACUGAUAGUCUAGAGUGAGGGAGAGGCAGAUGGAAUUGGUGGUGUAGGGGUAAAAUCCGUAGAUAUCACCAAGAAUACCCAUUGCGAAGGCGAUCUGCUGGAACUCAACUGACGCUAAGGCGCGAAAGCGUGGGGAGCAAACAGGAUUAGAUACCCUGGUAGUCCACGCCCUAAACGAUGUACACUAGUUGUUGGGGUGCUAGUCAUCUCAGUAAUGCAGCUAACGCAUUAAGUGUACCGCCUGGGGAGUACGGUCGCAAGAUUAAAACUCAAAGGAAUAGACGGGGACCCGCACAAGCGGUGGAGCAUGUGGUUUAAUUCGAAGAUACGCGAAGAACCUUACCUGGGCUUGAUAUCCUAAGAACCUUUUAGAGAUAAGAGGGUGCUAGCUUGCUAGAACUUAAAGACAGGUGCUGCACGGCUGUCGUCAGCUCGUGUCGUGAGAUGUUGGGUUAAGUCCCGCAACGAGCGCAACCCACGUAUUUAGUUGCUAACGGUUCGGCCGAGCACUCUAAAUAGACUGCCUUCGUAAGGAGGAGGAAGGUGUGGACGACGUCAAGUCAUCAUGGCCCUUAUGCCCAGGGCGACACACGUGCUACAAUGGCAUAUACAAUGAGACGCAAUACCGCGAGGUGGAGCAAAUCUAUAAAAUAUGUCCCAGUUCGGAUUGUUCUCUGCAACUCGAGAGCAUGAAGCCGGAAUCGCUAGUAAUCGUAGAUCAGCCAUGCUACGGUGAAUACGUUCCCGGGUCUUGUACUCACCGCCCGUCACACCAUGGGGAGUUGAGUUCACUCGAAGCCGGAAUACUAAACUAGUUACCGUCC
rnacentral:rRNA from 1 species